GAUGAACGCUAGCGGCGUGCCUCAAACAUGCAAGUCGAGCGAGGCUAUGAAUUACCGCAAGGUAAGGCAUAGCCUAGCGGCGAACGGGUGAGUAACACGUGGGUAACCUACCUGGAAGACAGGAAUAACGAUUCGAAAGGGUCGCUAAUACCUGAUAAUAUCCAUCUGCCGGAUGGCGGAGGGAAGAAAGGGGAAACCCGCUUUCAGAUGGGCCCGCGUCCCAUCAGCUAGUUGGUAAGGUAAAGGCUUACCAAGGCGACGACGGGUAGCCGGUCUGAGAGGAUGUACGGCCACACUGGGACUGAGAUACGGCCCAGACUCCUACGGGAGGCAGCAGUUGGGAAUCUUAGGCAAUGGACGAAAGUCUGACCUAGCGACGCCGCGUGAGGGAGAAGGCCUUCGGGUUGUAAACCUCUGUCAUGGGGGAAGAAGGAAGUGACGGUACCCAAGAGGAAGCCCCUGCUAACUACGUGCCAGCAGCCGAGGUAAAAUGCGUACU
rnacentral:rRNA from 1 species